rnacentral:misc_RNA from 1 species
GGCAAAAGAUGAUGACAUUAGUCUCCAAUUCGAAUCUUUGCAAAUAUUCAAAAACUAAUAAUUCUUUUGAACAGCAAAUUUCCCUCAAUGUUGUUUAAUUUGAUAAUUUUGAUGAUGUAUCAUAUUUUUCAAGACUGUGCACCUACAUGUAUGAUAUAUACAUAUAAAUCAUGCAUGAACAACACCAAAUAUAAAUAACGAUGAUUAAAAUAGCUUGAUUAAAUGUAUUUUAUAUUAAGAUACCUUUGAG